rnacentral:rRNA from 1 species
UAGGGAAUCUUCCACAAUGGACGCAAGUCUGAUGGAGCAACGCCGCGUGAGUGAAGAAGGUUUUCGGACCGUAAAGCUCUGUUGUUGGUGAAGAAGGAUAGAGGUAGUAACUGGCCUUUAUUUGACGGUAAUCAACCAGAAAGUCACGGCUAACUACGUGCCAGCAGCCGCGGUAAUCGUAGGUGGCAAGCGUUGUCCGGAUUUAUUGGGCGUAAAGCGAGCGCAGGCGGAAGAAUAAGUCUGAUGUGAAAGCCCUCGGCUUAACCGAGGAAUUGCAUCGGAAACUGUUUUCUUGAGUGCAGAAGAGGAGAGUAGAACUCCAUGUGUAGCGGUGGAAUGUGUAGAUAUAUGGAAGAAUACCAGUGGCGAAGGCGGCUCUCUGGUCUGCAACUGACGCUGAGGCUCGAAAGCAUGGGUAGCGAACAGGAUUAGAUACCCUGGUAGUCCAUGCCGUAAACGAUGAGUGCUAAGUGUUGGGAGGCUUCCGCCUCUCAGUGCUGCAGCUAACGCAUUAAGCACUCCGCCUGGGGGAGUACGACCGCAAGGUUGAAAC